rnacentral:rRNA from 1 species
UACAGAGGGUGCAAGCGUUGUUCGGAAUUACUGGGCGUAAAGCGCGUGUAGGUGGCGAUGUAAGUCGGGUGUGAAAUCCCUUGGCUCAACCAAGGAAGUGCAUUCGAUACUGUGUCGCUUGAGUACUGGAGGGGAUGGCGGAAUUCCCGGUGUAGAGGUGAAAUUCGUAGAUAUCGGGAGGAACACCUGUGGCGAAGGCGGCCAUCUGGACAGUCACUGACACUGAGACGCGAAAGCGUGGGUAGCAAACAGG